rnacentral:rRNA from 1 species
UGCUUUUGAUGGGCGUCGACCGGCGCACGGGUGAGUAACGCGUAUCCAACCUGCCCACCACUUGGGGAUAACCUUGCGAAAGUAAGACUAAUACCCAAUGACGUCUCUAGAAGACAUCUGAAGGAGAUUAAAGAUUUAUCGGUGAUGGAUGGGGAUGCGUCUGAUUAGCUUGUUGGCGGGGUAACGGCCCACCAAGGCGACGAUCAGUAGGGGUUCUGAGAGGAAGGUCCCCCACAUUGGAACUGAGACACGGUCCAAACUCCUACGGGAGGCAGCAGUGAGGAAUAUUGGUCAAUGGACGAGAGUCUGAACCAGCCAAGUAGCGUGCAGGAUGACGGCCCUAUGGGUUGUAAACUGCUUUUAUAAGGGAAUAAAGUGAGUCUCGUGAGACUUUUUGCAUGUACCUUAUGAAUAAGGACCGGCUAAUUCCGUGCCAGCAGCCGCGGUAAUACGGAAGGUCCGGGCGUUAUCCGGAUUUAUUGGGUUUAAAGGGAGCGUAGGCCGGAGAUUAAGCGUGUUGUGAAAUGUAGAUGCUCAACAUCUGUACUGCAGCGCGAACUGGUUUCCUUGAGUACGCACAAAGUGGGCGGAAUUCGUGGUGUAGCGGUGAAAUGCUUAGAUAUCACGAAGAACUCCGAUUGCGAAGGCAGCUCACUGGAGCGCAACUGACGCUGAAGCUCGAAAGUGCGGGUAUCGAACAGGAUUAGAUACCCUGGUAGUCCGCACGGUAAACGAUGGAUGCCCGCUGUUGGUCUGAAUAGGUCAGCGGCCAAGCGAAAGCAUUAAGCAUCCCACCUGGGGAGUACGCCGGCAACGGUGAAACUCAAAGGAAUUGACGGGGGCCCG